UACGUAGGGUGCAAGCGUUAUCCGGAAUUAUUGGGCGUAAAGAGCUCGUAGGCGGUCUGUCGCGUCUGCUAUGAAAACUCAGGGCUUAACCCUGAGCUUGCAGUGGGUACGGGCAGACUAGAGUGCGGUAGGGGAGACUGGAAUUCCUGGUGUAGCGGUGAAAUGCGUAGAUAUCAAGAGGAACACCUGAGGCGAAGGCGGGUUGCUAGGCUGACACUGACGCUGAGUGCGCGAAAGCCAGGGGAGCAAACGGG
rnacentral:rRNA from 1 species